rnacentral:ncRNA from 1 species
UACUCCUUCCACUCGGAGUAACCUUAUUAUGGCAUGCGUCCCCAGCAAUGAGGAGGUGUGAAGCCCAUAAGACAAUGUGGAAAAACCUGAAAGUCUCAUUCAGGUAAUCUG